AGGUGGGCACUCCUGAGGCUGCAGAGCGGAAGAGACCACCAACACUGCUCACCCCUGCCCACAUCCCUGGCCCAAGAGGAAACUGUAUAAGGCCUCUGGGCUCCCGUGGGGGAGGGCCCAGGAGCGGCAGGACCCCUGCCUGAGACACCACCAGAACCUGAAGGAAACAGACCGGAUAAACAGUUCUCUGCACCCAAAUCCCGUGGGAGGGAGAGCUAAACCUUCAGAGAGGCAGACAAGCCUGGGAAACCAGAAGAGACUGCUCUCUGCACACACAUCUCGGACGCCAGAGGAAAAAGCCAAAGACCAUCUGGAACCCUGGUGCACUGAAGCUCCCGGAAGGGGCGGCACAGGUCUUCCUGGUUGCUGCCGCUGCAGAGAGCCCGUGGGCAGCACCCCACAAGCGAACUUGAGCCCCGGGACCACAGGUAAGACCAACUUUUCUGCUGCAAGAAAGCUGCCUGGUGAACUCAAGACACAGGCCCACAGGAACAGCUGAAGACCUGUAGAGAGGAAAAACUACACGCCCGAAAGCAGAACACUCUGUCCCCAUAACUGGCUGAAAGAAAACAGGAAAA
rnacentral:lncRNA from 1 species